ACGGCCCUAUGGGUUGUAAACUGCUUUUAUGCUGGGGAUAAAGUGCGUGACGUGUCAUGCAUUGCAGGUACCACAUGAAUAAGGACCGGCUAAUUCCGUGCCAGCAGCCGCGGUAAUACGGAAGGUCCGGGCGUUAUCCGGAUUUAUUGGGUUUAAAGGGAGCGUAGGCCGUCUAUUAAGCGUGUUGUGAAAUCCACCGGCUCAACCGGUGGCUUGCAGCGCGAACUGGCGGACUUGAGUGUGCGGGAAGUACGCGGAAUUCAUGGUGUAGCGGUGAAAUGCUUAGAUAUCACGACGAACCCCGAUUGCGAAGGCAGCUUACUGUAGCAUAACUGACGCUGAUGCUCGAAAGCGCGGGUAUCAAACAGGAUUAAAUACCCUGGUAGUCCGCACGGUAAACCAUGGAUGCUCGCUAUUCAUCCUAUUUGGG
rnacentral:rRNA from 1 species